rnacentral:rRNA from 1 species
GGGUUGUGAGGUUAAGCGACUAAGCGUACACGGUGGAUGCCCUGGCAGUCAGAGGCGAUGAAGGGCGUGCUAAUCUGCGAUAAGCGCCGGUAAGGUGAUAUGAACCGUUAUAACCGGCGAUACCCGAAUGGGGAAACCCAGUGUGACUCGUCACACUAUCAUUAACUGAAUCCAUAGGUUAAUGAGGCGAACCGGGGGAACUGAAACAUCUAAGUACCCCGAGGAAAAGAAAUCAACCGAGAUUCCCCCAGUAGCGGCGAGCGAACGGGGAGGAGCCCAGAGCCUGAAUCAGCAUGUGUGUUAGUGGAAGCGUCUGGAAAGGCGCGCGAUACAGGGUGACAGCCCCGUACACAAAAGCGCAUGUGCUGUGAGCUCGAUGAGUAGGGCGGGACACGUGGUAUCCUGUCUGAAUAUGGGGGGACCAUCCUCCAAGGCUAAAUACUCCUGACUGACCGAUAGUGAACCAGUACCGUGAGGGAAAGGCGAAAAGAACCCCGGCGAGGGGAGUGAAAAAGAACCUGAAACCGUGUACGUACAAGCAGUGGGAGCACAGGUUUACCUGUGUGACUGCGUACCUUUUGUAUAAUGGGUCAGCGACUUAUAUUCUGUAGCAAGGUUAACCGAAUAGGGGAGCCGGAGGGAAACCGAGUCUUAACCGGGCGUUAAGUUGCAGGGUAUAGACCCGAAACCCGGUGAUCUAGCCAUGGGCAGGUUGAAGGUUGGGUAACACUAACUGGAGGACCGAACCGACUAAUGUUGAAAAAUUAGCGGAUGACCUGUGGCUGGGGGUGAAAGGCCAAUCAAACCGGGAGAUAGCUGGUUCUCCCCGAAAGCUAUUUAGGUAGCGCCUCGUGAAUUCAUCUCCGGGGGUAGAGCACUGUUUCGGCUAGGGGGCCAUCCCGGCUUACCAACCCGAUGCAAACUGCGAAUACCGGAGAAUGUUAUCACGGGAGACACACGGCGGGUGCUAACGUCCGUCGUGAAGAGGGAAACAACCCAGACCGCCAGCUAAGGUCCCAAAGUCAUGGUUAAGUGGGAAACGAUGUGGGAAGGCCCAGACAGCCAGGAUGUUGGCUUAGAAGCAGCCAUCAUUUAAAGAAAGCGUAAUAGCUCACUGGUCGAGUCGGCCUGCGCGGAAGAUGUAACGGGGCUAAACCAUGCACCGAAGCUGCGGCAGCGACGCUGAUGCGUUGUUGGGUAGGGGAGCGUUCUGUAAGCCUGCGAAGGUGGCCUGUGAGGGUUGCUGGAGGUAUCAGAAGUGCGAAUGCUGACAUAAGUAACGAUAAAGCGGGUGAAAAGCCCGCUCGCCGGAAGACCAAGGGUUCCUGUCCAACGUUAAUCGGGGCAGGGUGAGUCGACCCCUAAGGCGAGGCCGAAAGGCGUAGUCGAUGGGAAACGGGUUAAUAUUCCCGUACUUGGUGUUACUGCGAAGGGGGGACGGAGAAGGCUAUGUUGGCCGGGCGACGGUUGUCCCGGUUUAAGCGUGUAG